ensembl:misc_RNA Y_RNA Y RNA
GGCUGGUCCAAGUGCAGUGGUGUUUGCAACUAAUCGAUCACAUCCAGUUACAGAUUUCUUUCUUUUUUUUCUUUCCCUCUCCACUCACACUGCUUCACUUGACCAGCCUUAA